AUUCAAGAAGUUGUUCCUUCUCUGUUUGUUUUCAUGGGGAAUUUUUGUUCUCAUCCUUGCAAUCUUUCCUUUCAUUCAUUUUCAAGUCUCAGAUUACAGUUUGGAAAGCUAGGGAAAAUGAUUGCAGCACAUCCAAGGCUAAAAGAGCAUAGCCUGUUUCUAUUUAUUCCAGGUCCUGAUGAUGCAGGUCCAUCAACGGUACUACCUAGGUGCGCUUUACCGAAGUAUCUAACUGAAGAGCUUCAGAAGUACAUUCCAAAUGCCAUAUUUUCAAGUAAUCCUUGCAGGGUCAAGUUCUACACACAAGAAAUUGUAUUUUUUCGAUAUGAUCUGCUGUAUAGGAUGCGUCGUUCAUGUUUGAUGCCCCCUUCUACAGAGGAGACUGCUGAUCCCUUUGAACAUCUGGUCGCUACCAUAAC
rnacentral:misc_RNA from 1 species